CACACUCGAGACCGGUGUAUGUCCUGGUUAAGACUAUCCGGGUCCCCACAUGGUCAACCCCUCCCCCACACCUAUACCCGCGCGCGCGUCUGGAGCUAAUGAUUGCAUCUCGUGACUCACUCACUGGACGAGCAGGAGCUGCAAACGCAGCAGCAAUCAGCGUGUUCGUUCUCCAAGGUAAGCUAAACACUUUUAUUUCAAAUGUAAUUCGUGUGUUAACAUCAUAACAAAUGCCACUACCAUAUAUUAUGGAGAAUGUUAAUAACAAAGCAGGCCUUGCUAGCGAUAAUUUUAACUUUGCAGUUUUCUGUCGAGUCGGGUUUAGUCAGUAUAAUGUUAGAUAACGUUAGUUUACUAACGCGCCUAUACAUGUGCAAUGUAAAUGGAAACUAUUUAGCUAACUACCACUACCAAGCUAACCGACUUAUUAGCUAGGCAGCGAUUGAAGCUUAAUGCAUGCCAUACAUUUUUUUUUUUUUUUGCGUUUGUUGUAUAAUUUAAUCACAUGUGAUUGAUAAUCGAUAAAUGUAUGUUUUUAUGAUAUGCACACUACAGUAGUUAGCUUGUAUGUUAGGAUGGACUACUAUGACAAUUAGCAAGUUAAAUAGAGUAUAGGAUCAGUUGUCAUAACACUUCCGCACUACAGCGUGGUUGGGUUGUAUGGCGGGAGAAAAGCUGCCAUCAGGGGUAACUUAGGUUUUCACUCAUGGAGAGAAGAACUUGGACCAAUCCAGGAUGCGGAGUACCAUAUCCAAGCGGGGAUUGAUAAACCAUGUCUCCAGCGUUUUAUCAAUAAUUUUAAAGCAUUGAUGCAUGUGAAAAGGACUCCUCUCUUGGGAGACUUGUUGAUGACGACCACAGAAGACCUAUUUUUGCAAAAUGAAAACCAUAAGUAAAGAAACCACACUUGUCUCUUCGCGAUUCGAGAUAUUACACCUGGAGAAGAACUGACGUCAACAACGUGACUCAAACUGGCCAUGGAGAGCACAGCCCCCAAAACACACUUCACUGGCACGGACACCCUGUUCAACAUGCCCGUCUCAGAUGAUAAUUUGCAGAGUGAGCGCUCGAAGUUGCAGGCCGGGAUUGACAAAUUAAAAACACCACAAUCGGUGUGAAACUCUGUAUGAAUCUACGGCUGAGAAGCGAAAUGCUCUUCAAAGACAGCGAACCUUACUCCUACUGCAAUUGGCAAACUUGGAUAAAAUGCUGGGCCCAGAAUCACAUCCAGUCACUUAAACAGCAGAAGAUUCUGUGAUACCCUCACCAACAGACACACAGGUAUGGUCAGAAAUUGACCAUGCAUCUCCAACCAGCGAAUGUGUACCACCACUGGAAAGAGUGUAUUUGUUGCCUUCCUUCACAACAUGGACACAGAUUCCAGCUCUGCAGAAGAUGGGAAUGUGUCCCACUCCAAUUCCAAGCUGGGCCCAGAAUCACAUCCAGUCACUUAAACAGCAGAAGAUUCUGUGAUACCCUCACCAACAGACACACAGGUAUGGUCAGAAAUUGACCAUGCAUCUCCAACCAGCGAAUGUGUACCACCACUGGAAAGAGUGUAUUUGUUGCCUUCCUUCACAACAUGGACUAGGGUUAGGGUUCUUAACAUGAACGACACCGAAAUGGACCAACUUGCUGAUAUCCUGGGACAUGAUAUUCGUAUCCACAGGAAAUAUUACAGAUUACCCGAGGGAACACUAUUAACAGGAGUGCGUUGAGCCUGAUCCUGGGAUAGAGAGUGAAACCGAACUGUCAGAUCAUUCUCAUGACGUGAUGUCAAGUGAGCCAGGCACUUCAGGAGUGAAUAGCAGCAGGCCAGUAAACACGAAUGAAGGAUCUCCAGAGAGGUCACGGGAGGUCAUGAAAGUAACAUCAGUUCCUAGGAAGAGAAAGUGGAGUGAAGUGGAGAUUGCAGCUGUAGAAGAGACAAUGAUGAAAUGUAUUCACUCGGGAGUUACUCCUGGAAAAGUCGACUACAUUGCAUGCAUUACAGCAGCCCCCAAAGCCCUCGGUGAACGAGACUGGCAGGCGGUGAAGUAUUAUA